rnacentral:rRNA from 1 species
AACGAACGCUGGCGGCAUGCCUAACACAUGCAAGUCGAACGAAGGCUUCGGGCUUAGUGGCGCACGGGUGCGUAACGCGUGGGAAUCUGCCCUUUGGUUCGGAAUAACAGCUGGAAACGGCUGCUAAUACCGGAUGAUGACGAAAGUCCAAAGAUUUAUCGCCAGAGGAUGAGCCCGCGUUGGAUUAGGUAGUUGGUGGGGUAAAAGCCUACCAAGCCGACGAUCCAUAGCUGGUCUGAGAGGAUGAUCAGCCACACUGGGACUGAGACACGGCCCAGACUCCUACGGGAGGCAGCAGUGGGGAAUAUUGGACAAUGGGCGCAAGCCUGAUCCAGCAAUGCCGCGUGAGUGAUGAAGGCCUUAGGGUUGUAAAGCUCUUUUACCCGGGAAGAUAAUGACUGUACCGGGAGAAUAAGCCCCGGCUAACUCCGUG